AACGAACGCUGGCGGCAUGCCUAACACAUGCAAGUCGAACGAGACCUUCGGGUCUAGUGGCGCACGGGUGCGUAACACGUGGGAAUUUGCCUCGGGGUAUGGAAUAACUCAGGGAAACUUGAGCUAAUACCAUAUAAUGUCUUCGGACCAAAGAUUUAUCGCCCUGAGAUAAGCCCGCGUAGGAUUAGCUAGUUGGUGGGGUAAAGGCUCACCAAGCCGACGAUCUGUAGCUGGUCUGAGAGGACGACCAGCCACACUGGGACUGAGACACGGCCCAGACUCCUACGGGAGGCAGCAGUGGGGAAUAUUGGACAAUGGGCGAAAGCCUGAUCCAGCCAUGCCGCGUGUGUGAAGAAGGUCUUCGGAUUGUAAAGCACUUUAAG
rnacentral:rRNA from 1 species